UACGUAGGGUGCAAGCGUUGUCCGGAAUUAUUGGGCGUAAAGAGCUCGUAGGCGGUCUGUCGCGUCUGCUGUGAAAACUCAGGGCUUAACCCUGAGCUUGCAGUGGGUACGGGCAGACUAGAGUGCGGUAGGGGAGACUGGAAUUCCUGGUGUAGCGGUGAAAUGCGUAGAGAUCGGCAGGAACACCCAGGGGGAAACCAGCCGGCUGGGGACGUGCUGACGCUCAGGGGCGAAAGCGUGGGGAGCAAACAGG
rnacentral:rRNA from 1 species